GACGAACGCUGGCGGCGUGCUUAACACAUGCAAGUCGAACGGUCCUGUUUUUGAAGCGCUUCGGCGUGGAGGGAGCGGGUUAGUGGCGCACGGGUGAGUAAUGCGCGAGGACCUGCCCGCGGGAGGGGGACAGCAGUUGGAAACGGCUGGUGAUACCCCGUAAGCCGGGAGGUAAAAGGGCGGAGACGCCCGCCUGCGGAUGGACUCGCGUCCUAUCAGCUAGUUGGUGAGGCAACGGCUCACCAAGGCGACGACGGGUAGCCGGCCUGAGAGGGUGUCCGGCCACACUGGAACUGAGACACGGUCCAGACUCCUACGGGAGGCAGCAGUGGGGAAUUUUGGGCAAGUGGGGGAGACCCUGACCCAGCCGACGCCGCGUGAGGGACGAAGGCCCUUGGGUCGUAAACCUCUUUUGCAGGGGAAGAAGAAGAUGACGGUACCUUGCGAACAAGUCCCGGACUAACUACGUGCCAGCAGCCGCGGUAAUCAACGAGAGUA
rnacentral:rRNA from 1 species